CAUUAAGUUGGGCACUCUAAGUUGACUGCCGGUGACAAACCGGAGGAAGGUGGGGAUGACGUCAAAUCAUCAUGCCCCUUAUGAUGUGGGCUACACACGUGCUACAAUGGACAAUACAAAGGGCAGCGAAACCGCGAGGUCAAGCAAAUCCCAUAAAGUUGUUCUCAGUUCGGAUUGUAGUCUGCAACUCGACUACAUGAAGCUGGAAUCGCU
rnacentral:rRNA from 1 species